GGGGACCCGCACAAGCGGUGGAUGAUGUGGUUUAAUUCGAUGCAACGCGAAAAACCUUACCCACCUUUGACAUGUACGGAAGUGACCAGAGAUGGACAUGUGCUCGAAAGAGAACCGUAACACAGGUGCUGCAUGGCUGUCGUCAGCUCGUGUCGUGAGAUGUUGGGUUAAGUCCCGCAACGAGCGCAACCCUUGCCAUUAGUUGCUACAUUUAGUUGGGCACUCUAAUGGGACUGCCGGUGACAAACCGGAGGAAGGUGGGGAUGACGUCAAGUCCUCAUGGCCCUUAUAGGUGGGGCUACACACGUCAUACAAUGGCUGGUACAAAGGGUUGCCAACCCGCGAGGGGGAGCUAAUCCCAUAAAGCCAGUCGUAGUCCGGAUCGCAGUCUGCAACUCGACUGCGUGAAGUCGGAAUCGCUAGUAAUCGUGGAUCAGAAUGUCACGGUGAAUACGUUCCCGGGUCUUGUACACACCGCCCGUCACACCAUGGGAGCGGGUCUCGCCAGAAGUA
rnacentral:rRNA from 1 species